AUAAUUAUUUUCUUACUUUUAAAAUUUUAUUUUGUUAUGAGAAAAAUCUUUUUAUUUAGUAUAAUAAAGAAAAAUAUUUAUGGUUAUAGUAGAUUAGUACUGUAAAGGAACUGAUGAAAUAAUUGUUAAAUUUGAAUUAUUAAAAAGUAUGUUUUAUUUACAGUACCUUUUGUAUCAGGGUUGAUUAAAUAAUUUAAUGUAUAUUUUGUUCUCGAUUUCAAAAGAUCUAAUUUACUAAUUUAGUUAGUGUUUCAUAAUUAUUAAUAAUAUAAAUUAGAGGAGAAAUUUUAUUCGGUUUUGAAGGUAUCUAGUUUUUUAAGAAUUAAAUUUAAUUUAGUCUUACUAAUUAAAUAUUAUAUUUUUUUAUUAUUUAUUGAGUAAGGGUAAAAUUAUAGGGGAUAAGCUCUAUAUUUUUCUAUAAAAAUUUUAUUUAUUUUAAUUUUGUAGGGUUAAAUUAUCCAUCAUUAGUAAGUGUGUUAUAACUUAUUUUCGUUUUUAUUUAAUUUUGUGUUUUUAUAGUUUAUUAUUAAAAUAUUAAAAUACACUUUUUAUUUUAAGAAAUAAUGAUUAAAUUAGUAUAAUAUUCUGUUUAUGAUGAAAUUUAUUUUAUGAUAAAAUAAGGAACUCGGCAAAUAUAGUUCUCGCCUGUUUAACAAAAACAUGUCCUUUUGAAUUUUAUUUAAGGUCAGGCCUGCCCAGUGAUUAAUUUAACGGCCGCGGUAUACUGACCGUGCAAAGGUAGCAUAAUCAUUAGUCUUUUAAUAGGGGGCUGGUAUGAAAGGUUUAACGAGGAACUGACUGUCUCAUUUUAUUUGUUUUAAAAAUUAAUUUUUUAGUCAAAAAGCUAAAAUUUACUUGGAAGACGAGAAGACCCUAUAGAGCUUUAUAUAUUAUUGAUUGAAAUAUAAUAUAUUAAUACUUUUAGUUAAUAAUGUAUUUUGUUGGGGUGACAAAAAUACAAGAAUAACUUUUUUAUUUAUUUUACAUUGAUGUAUGAUUUUUAGAUCCAUUAUUAUUGAUUGUUAGAAUAAGUUACCUUAGGGAUAACAGCGUAAUCCUUUCCCAGAGUUCAUAUUUACGAAAGGGGUUGCGACCUCGAUGUUGGAUUAAGAUAAUAGUUAGGUGUAGCCGCUUAAUGUAUAGGUCUGUUCGACCUUUAACC
rnacentral:rRNA from 1 species